GGGAUGUGUUCACAUAGAAGUGGAGGAGUCCUUCUGCUUGGAGGCUCUUCCACACCUAAUAACUUCUAUAUAAAGAAUUUAAUCUUUGUGGGAAGUUAUGGGAUGUCGGGUCAAAUUUUAUGCACCAAACAUUGUUUUUUUUCCCUUGCCUCUUAAUUCUUACAUGCCUAGGAUUAUGGGAUCAGGAGAAGUAAAAAUCCUUCUUCUCCUUAACUUCCCCACAUGUUGAUUAUUUGUGGAAAUUUAUUGAUCACCGCAUGAGGUAUUUGGGAUGCCAAAAGUUGGCAUCCUUUGGAAGUAGGAUGGUGCCCCUUCUUAUCUUAUAAAUAAGGGGGUGCUACACCUAGUUUCACAUCCCACUUUAAGGCUGAGUUUAGGCAUGAAAAUGAGAGGAAAAAGAUAAGAUAAAGUCUGAAAAAAAUGCAAGAGAAAAGGGAGAAAAAAAUGGAAAGGAAGGGAAGAAAAAAUGGAAAGCAUAUGAUGCUUGUCCAAAAAUUAGAUUGUUCAUGUGUUGAACAUCAAAUCUGAUUUUGUGUGGUGAGAUUAUUUAAAAAAUAGAUCCUAAAGUGGUCCUAGUAGAGGUAUCGAAGGUAUACAAGUGAUGGUGCAACCUGUUCUUGCGAAAGACGAUCGGCAGCGAACUUGCGAAGAAGGCUACAGCACUACGACGAAUUGGGAAGGGCCCUGAUCAGUCCUGUGUGGAUCACCGUUGGAGGACUUCUACUUUGGAGUCUUGUGGAGAUC
rnacentral:lncRNA from 1 species